GCUUGUGAGGGUGAUCUGGCUGUGACAUCUGUCACCCCAUCGAUCGCCAGGGUUGAUUUGGCUGAGCUGGCUGGCUAGGUGGGUGUCCUGUUCUUCCCUCACUGCUCCAUGUGUGUCCCUCCCGAAGCUGUGUACUUGGUCUAAGAGGAUGACCUUCCCAAUAAAGGAGGACCGUUCUCUGGUCAAGGGUAUAUGAGUCACUGCAGUCCCCUGACAGAACCUGCAAACAAGCUCUCAAGGUCCAUUUGUAGGACAACGUAGGGUAGUCAAGCUUCGAAGACUCCAGACACAUCCAAACAAAAUUCUGCAUGUGACACUCUGCCUUCCUUU
ensembl:misc_RNA 7SK 7SK RNA